rnacentral:tRNA from 1 species
GCCGCUGUAGCUCAGUUGGUAGAGCAGUGGACUGAAAAUCCACGUGUCGUCAGUUCAAUUCUGACCGGUGGCAUCA